UACAGAGGUCUCAAGCGUUGUUCGGAUUCAUUGGGCGUAAAGGGUGCGUAGGCGGCGCGGUAAGUCGGAUGUGAAAUCCCGGGGCUCAACCCCGAAACUGCAUUCGAUACUGCCGUGCUUGAGGACUGGAGAGGAGACUGGAAUUUACGGUGUAGCGGUGAAAUGCGUAGAUAUCGUAAGGAAGACCAGUGGCGAAGGCGGGUCUCUGGACAGUUCCUGACGCUGAGGCACGAAGGUCAGGGGAGCAAACGGG
rnacentral:rRNA from 1 species